rnacentral:rRNA from 1 species
CCCUUAGAUGUUCUGGGCCGCACGCGCGCUACAAUGAUGCAGGCAACGAGUGCCGCUCCUUAGCCGAAAGGCUUGGGGAAUCUUGAAAACUGCAUCGUGCUAGGGAUAGAUGAUUGCAAUCGUGCAUCUUGAACGAGGAAUGCCUUGUAAGCGUGAGUCAUCAACUCGCGCUGAAUACGUCCCUGCCCUUUGUACACACCGCCCGUCGCUCCUACCGAUUGGAUGGUCCGGUGAACUGGUCGGACUGCUGUUUGAAAUUGCGAGUGCAGUUGAUUCACGGGAAGUCUAGUAAACCUUAUCAUCUAGAGGAAGGAGAAGUCGUAACA